CCUACAGGAGGCUGCAGUGGGGAAUAUUGGACAAUGGGGGCAACCCUGAUCCAGCCAUGCCGCGUGUGUGAAGAAGGCCCUCGGGUUGUAAAGCACUUUCAGUGAGGAAGAACGCCUGGUGGUUAAUACCCAUCAGGAAAGACAUCACUCACAGAAGAAGCACCGGCUAACUCCGUGCCAGCAGCCGCGGUAAUACGGAGGGUGCGAGCGUUAAUCGGAAUUACUGGGCGUAAAGCGCGCGUAGGUGGCUUGAUAAGCCGGUUGUGAAAGCCCCGGGCUCAACCUGGGAACGGCAUCCGGAACUGUCAAGCUAGAGUGCAGGAGAGGAAGGUAGAAUUCCCGGUGUAGCGGUGAAAUGCGUAGAGAUCGGGAGGAAUACCAGUGGCGAAGGCGGCCUUCUGGACUGACACUGACACUGAGGUGCGAAAGCGUGGGUAGCAAACAGGAUUAGAUACCCGUGUAGUC
rnacentral:rRNA from 1 species